rnacentral:rRNA from 1 species
GAUGAACGCUGGCGGCGUGCCUAAUACAUGCCAGUCGAGCGAACGGACGAGAAGCUUGCUUCUCUGAUGUUAGCGGCGGACGGGUGAGUAACACGUGGAUAACCUACCUAUAAGACUGGGAUAACUUCGGGAAACCGGAGCUAAUACCGGAUGAUAUUUUGAACCGCAUGGUUCAAAAGUGAAAGACGGUCUUGCUGUCACUUAUAGAUGGAUCCGCGCUGCAUUAGCUAGUUGGUAAGGUAACGGCUUACCAAGGCAACGAUGCAUAGCCGACCUGAGAGGGUGGUCAGUCACACGGGAACUGAGGCACGGUCCAGACGCCUACGGGAGGCAGCAGGGGGGCAUAUUGGACAAUGGGCGAAAGCCUGAUCCAGCCAGGCCGCGUGUGUGAAGAAGGUCUUCGGAUUGUAAAGCACUUUAAGUUGGGAGGAAGGGUUGUAGAUUAAGACUCUGCAAGUUUGACGUUACCGACAGAAUAAGCACCGGCUAACUCUGUG